rnacentral:rRNA from 1 species
AUUGAACGCUGGCGGCAUGCCUUACACAUGCAAGUCGAACGGCAACACGGGUGCUUGCACCUGGUGGCGAGUGGCGAACGGGUGAGUAAUAUAUCGGAACGUACCUUAUUGUGGGGGAUAACGCAGCGAAAGCUGUGCUAAUACCGCAUACGCCCUGAGGGGGAAAGCGGGGGAUCGCAAGACCUCGCGCGAUUAGAGCGGCCGAUGCCUGAUUAGCUUGUUGGUGGGGUAAAAGCCCACCAAGGCGACGAUCAGUAGCUGGUCUGAGAGGACGAUCAGCCACACUGGGACCGAGACACGGCCCAGACUCCUACGGGAGGCAGCAGUGGGGAAUUUUGGACAAUGGGGGCAACCCUGAUCCAGCAAUGCCGCGUGAGUGAAGAAGGCCUUCGGGUUGUAAAGCUCUUUUGUCAGGGAAGAAACACCGGCUCUAACACAGUCCGGGAAUGACGGUACCUGAAGAAUAAGCACCGGCUAACUACGUGCCAGCCGCCGCCGUAA